rnacentral:misc_RNA from 1 species
UGUAAAAUGUUUGCGAGUUUGCUAAAUAUCAAAAACUUAUGAUUUUGGUAAUCUAGGUGAUUGGACAUAGACAAAGUACUCUGAUGGCUAUGUAAAUUCUUUUCUUAAUCUUAACCCAUAUAUUGUUUGAUUAAAAAAAAAUCAUUUUUGAAAUGACGCAUGACGCAUUAUAUUUACAUUUUUAUUUUGCGUGGUUUUUUCAUCAUUUUUCAUAUAUGUAGUGAAAUUGUUUACAUUUUAGUUAUUAAGAAUCUAAAACGUACCUGGAAUUUGUGCAAGAAGAACUGUGUCAACAUAUGAGUACAUUAAGAAUGGCUAAAGAAGACAUAUUGCUACGAGUUGAAAUGGGAAAAUUAGAAAUAGAGCCUAUAAAGCUUAAUAUCACAACUACUGAUGAGAAUCCUUUUAUAAAUCAGUUACAGCAGAAAAGAAUUUCUAGACAAACAACACAAAAUAACUGUUCAUGUACUUGGCAAAAGAAAUAUUUAAAUCCAGCAAUACACAAAAAAAAGAAUAAUAAGAUACUUAAGGAUCCUGUGUUAAAGUUACUCAAGUCAAAUACUGCAGGUAAUCAGCAAGAGGAGCAUCCAAAAAUUAAUAAAAACACUUCAGCUUCUGCUGAAUAUUUAAAUGUAGAUAUUUUAAAUUUAUGUGCACUUGUUGAUAAUUGUAAUCAGCUGCGAAUAUCAUCAAAUACCAAAAAGGAUAGAGAGAUGGCAGUUACAGAACAUAAUAAUCAAGCAAAAUGGUGGAAGAAUGAUUUAAUACAUGCUAGACAGAUUAGAAAAUCAGUAGUAGAAAAUAACCAAACGGGUACUUGCUCUCAACAAGCACUCAAUCCUCCUUGUGAUGUAACAAUUGAUGAACUAGCAAGUUAUUUUGAAACUUUGGUCCAUAUACCUAAAAAGAUGUCAUCAAUGGCAGAAAUGAUGUAUAUUUAAAAAGCCUAUGUUAUUCUAGAACAAGAAGUGGUCCAAUGUUCAUGAUUUCUUCCACAAUUUACGAACAGCAAACUUAUCAAAGAAACUGAUUAAAGAGGAAACAGGAAAAGAUCCCGUCCUAAGUGAAGUAUCCAAACAUAUUAAACUUGGCUGGAAGAAUCAAU